rfam:Oceanobacillus picturae, S1, WGS project CCAX01000000 data, contig: 000001
UCUAACUUAAGCAACAUAAGCCCUACCUGCUCUUAUGUCCUUGCGACCCCUUAGUCGCGCCAGUGUGAAUAAGCAUCUUCGAUAAACA